GAUCCCCCCCCCCACCACAGAAUUAUUUUCAUUGCUACUUUAUAACUGUAAUUUUGCUACUGUUAUGAAUCAUAGUGUAAGUAUUGUUUUUGGAGGUAGAGGCUUGCCAAAGGGACCAUGACCAAAGGUUGAGAACCAUUGGUGUAGGUGUACAUGGCUGCUAGAGUGGCACCCACUCUGGGAACAUUGCCUGCAGAAAACCAGUUUGGCAGUUUGGGUGCUUCAAAGUCCUUCUCCAUAAGGCCUGGUGGAGAAGAGUCAUUAGGGCUCAGGGAUUGGUGUCCUGAGAGUAUGGGCAGGGAGACUCAGGGGUCAGCCACAUUUGGAUGACUUUCACCUGUAAGAUCUCAAAACCGAAAAUCUGGUUGCGCUGGUCAAAAAGCAUAUGCAUCCAGGGCAGGCAAUUACAAAGGCCUGGAAUGUUGACGAUCUUUCAGCCAGGGAGGGAGGGAGGCCUGUAAUAUAGCCCCCACACCCAACAGCUGCCCUGGGCCGGUGUGCCAGGUGUGCUCGUCUGUUCCAAGAAAGGGAGGGAUUGUUUGCCUGUUCCAGUCCAGAGUAGGUGGGCGACGGAUUCCAGAGCUGGUCGCUCAUUACAUGCCUGUGCUGAAGUAACAUGGCUCCACAUCUCCACCCUCCUGCACGCGGCAGCCCAGUGACUUCUCAUUGGAAAGUGGUAACCAGCCCAGUGAGGACGCACCCUCCGGUCACCAGGGGGCGCGUCUUCGCUGUGGCGCAUGCGCCUUUAUGGCUUCAGGAGGAAGCUUGAGCUCUUUCAGUGUCUUCCGGCUCAGAUAAACUUCCGGCUCGAAGGUCACGGACAAGAUGGUUCCCCCGGUUCAGGUCUCUCCGCUCAUCAAGCUCGGCCGGUACUCAGCCCUGGUCCUCGGCAUGGCUUACGGCGCCAAACGCUAUAGUGACACCAUACUCAAGUGAAGCGCCCGUGAGCUAGCCCUUCUUUAGCCGCUGAGGAUGAAUAAAGCUUUGUCGUGUCAUGGA